rnacentral:rRNA from 1 species
AGUGAACGCUGGCGGUAGGCCUAACACAUGCAAGUCGAACGGCAGCACAGUACUAGCUUGCUCUUACGGGUGGCGAGUGGUGGACGGGUGCGGAAUACAUCGGAAUCUACUUUUUAGUGGGGGAUAACGUAGGGAAACUUACGCUAAUACCGCAUACGACCUACGUGUGAAAGCAGGGGAUCUUCGGACCUUGCGCGAUUGUAUGAGCCGAUGUCGGAUUAGCUAGUUGGCGGGGUAAAGGCCCACCAAGGCGACGAUCCGUAGCUGGUAUGAGAGGAUGAUCAGCCACACUGGAACUGAGACACGGUCCAGACUCCUACGGGAGGCAGCAGUGGGGAAUAUUGGACAAUGGGCGCAAGCCUGAUCCAGCCAUACCGCGUGGGUGAAGAAGGCCUUCGGGUUGUAAAGCCCUUUAGGUGGGAAAGAAAAGCAGCAGGUUAAUACCCCGCUGUUCUGACGGUACCAAAAGAAUAAGCACCGGCUAACUUCGUG